UACGUGUCCAAUCACUGAGAGGAAAGGCGGGUCAAGGUCCGUGCCUGCUACAAAGAUGGCGACCGCGGAACGCUCUAGAGCUUCAGUCUUUCGUCAGCUGUUGGCGUGAGCUGUGUUGGAAAUUAUGUUCCCCUGAAGCCGCGCGCCGCAGCGCCUGUCUGUGGCAAGAAGUGGAUGUGAAGGGCAGGGCGGACGUCCUGCUUCGGGUUUCAGCGUUGAGGCUCCGAGCAGAGGGGUAGCGCUGAUGUCGUCUCCAGGCCGGGCGAUGCGGGGGAGGGCAGCAGCUCGCCCCCUUCCCCGCUGUUUCCAGAAUCCCUGCGGGUGUCAGCGUGGCCAGAGCUGUCCACCUGUAGACACUGGACCCCAGUAUACCUGUCAGCUUCAGCUGAGUAGAUGUAUCUCGGGUUUUUUUUUUUUUUUCCCCUCAGUCAUGAGGGAUGGAGGCUUCAGUUUAGCAGACAAACUGUCUGGGGCCCAAAAGAGAAAAAAGUCUCAGCCUGUUCAAGAAGUGAAGCAAAAGCUACGCAGAACCCUGACAUCUUUGUUCCUGUAACCUUUCUGAGUUAUGAACCAAUUCCGGUUAUGAUGGAACUGGCAUGGCCGUCAUAUGUAUGCCUACCUGGCAUGAUAUAUUUAGGAAUGAAAAAUGCCCGUUACUUCUGUGAAGUGAAGAAACUGCACAACCUAAAAGUUGAGAAUUUUUUUAUUUGGUGGCUUUUCUGAGGACCUAAGCCAGGAAGACAGCCUCUCAAAUCGCUUUGGGGGACUGCUCCAAAGAGGCAAGGGAGGAGCCAGGAUAUAUACGAGUUUUCCAGCAAAAACCAGAACUGGAGCCAGUUUUGAAAGAGAAAAUUAGCUACGUACCACAUGGUGCUCGAAAUAGCUGAAGAAAUGCAGAAUGAACUAACAGGCUAACAGGCCUCCAAACCCAGAACAAGUUCCCGGAGCUGGUAAAAGCAGCCGAAUUCUUGAGUGUGAUCAUAGAUGGGAACACUGGUAUCUCUUCCAAAGAAAAUCUCUCCCUCUUUGCCGUUUUCACCAGACUGAAGAAGGUAAGUGGAGUUUUAUUUAAUAUCUGAUUGAUUUCGUAGAGGCUGUUGACAUGACUGAGAAUCUCCCGACAGAAUGCUUCUUGCAGAGAAUAGCAGUCUGCGGUUUACCAAAGGAAUUACUGCAGGGUUUCUGUGAUCAGAGGGUGAUUCCAUGAAUGGCCAGCUGGAAGGAUUUGUUCUUGGCUUCUAAGAUGCAGGAGCUGGACUCAGCUAUUAUUUGGUCCUGUGCAGUGGAGCCAGUCACCAAACUUCUAGACGCUGUGGGCAAAGUCAUGGUACGCUAAAGGCAUUCUCAGAGCACUUCACAGCUCAGCUGGGUUUGCUGCAGGCAUUCCUGAGUGAAGGGGGUGAACACUGGGAGGAGGAAGAGGAGUGGGAUGUUGUGAUUUAUAAGGAAAAUAUAUAUGUGGUCAUCCAGAUGGCCAGAACCCUUGGAAUUUCCUAAAUGUUCAGAGUGGUAAAGGUGUCUCUUGUUGUGUUAAUGAGGUGACUUUUAGAAGUAGGAUGGGGGUGGGUUGCCAGGAAAGAACCAACUCUGUGAUUAGAGGGUUGGAACUUUCAGUCCCACCCCCUGAUUUUCAGGAAGAGGGGAGAGGAGCCUGAGAUUGACUCAGUUGCCAUUGGCCAAUGAUUUAGUCAAUUGUAGGUAUGUAAUGAAGCCUCUAUGAAAACCCAGAAGGACAGCUUUUGGUCCCAUUUUUGGAGAGCUUCCACGUGGAGAGCGACAGUGCUUCCUCAUGCUCAUAUGAGGACCCCAUGCUCUAAGAGGCCAGAAGUGCCUUUGUUGGGUACCUCGCCGUAUGUCUUUUCAUCUGGCAGUUAAUUUGUAUCCUUUAAUAUCCUUUUAUAAUAAAUCAGUCAUCUGGUGAGUACAUGGGUUUUCCUGAGUUCUGUGAGUCGUUUUAGCAGGUCAUUUGGACCCGAGGAGGAUGUCCUGGGAACCUCUGAUUUGUAGCCAGUUGGUCAGAAGCACAGGUAAGGACCUGGGCUUGCGACUGGCGUCUGAAGUGAAGGGUGGUCUUGUGAGACUGAGCCCUUUACCUGGGUAGCUAGUGUCAGAACUGAGCUGAUUUCUCAGACACCUCCUGGUGUCUAAGGAUUUCUUGUUGGUGUGGGGAAGCCUCCACACACACACAUGUUGGAAUUGAUUCUGGGAACCCUUUUCAAGGAGGAACAGAGUAGUAUCAGAGAAAAUACCAGGUGGACAGCAUCUCAGUGUCUGUGUCUUUUCAAGGCUAAGUGUACAGUCAUCCUCAAAGUUUUGCAGGAAAUAGGCACGCACAGGGUGCUGAAAGACCUUUUUUUAUUCCAUCACCAAGUUUGACUUCCUAGUGAUGAUGGUGUGUUGAAUAAACCCUUUCAAACACCAACUCCUUGCCUCAGGACAUGCAGCAGGCUGAUACUGACCUCCUUGACUUGUUUAAUGAAGCCACCUUGUAAUCCAGAGGU